AGGUCUUGACAUCCUCUGAAAACCCUAGAGAUAGGGCUUCUCCUUCGGGAGCAGAGUGACAGGUGGUGCAUGGUUGCCGUCAGCUCGUGUCGUGAGAUGUUGGGUUAAGUCCCGCAACGAGCGCAACCCUUGAUCUUAGUUGCCAUCAUUAAGUUGGGCACUCUAAGGUGACUGCCGGUGACAAACCGGAGGAAGGUGGGGAUGACGUCAAAUCAUCAUGCCCCUUAUGACCUGGGCUACACACGUGCUACAAUGGACGGUACAAAGAGCUGCAAGACCGCGAGGUGGAGCUAAUCUCAUAAAACCGUUCUCAGUUCGGAUUGUAGGCUGCAACUCGCCUACAUGAAGCUGGAAUCGCUAGUAAUCGCGGAUCAGCAUGCCGCGGUGAAUACGUUCCCGGGCC
rnacentral:rRNA from 1 species